AGGGAGCAUGCCAGGCUUUCAGCCCCUGAGAGCUUAUUUUGGAGGGUGGAGGGGGGGGUCAGUGGAGGACAAAGCAGCUUUCAUUGCUCAUGUAUUCGGCGGGCUGCAGAGCUGCUCUCUGAGAGGUAGCAUUUACCUUCUCGUCUCCCAUCAUGGGAUUUCAGCUCACCUGAUCCUUCCUGGCAUCCACUUCAACAGGCAGAAAGGAGGCGAGCAGGAAGGCAGCCGGCACGGAUGGUCAAAGUACCUGUGACCGAAUCUGCGCUCAGGGCCGGAUCUCUCCAGCUGAGAUACCAUUUCCCGAGAGACGGGGACGCUCGAGCUCUUUACCUUUAUCUCCGGUCCGACGAGGAGCCAUCAAUGGUGCGACAAAAACAACACAAAUAUCCAUGCUGGUGGCUCGGAUGAAGGAAACAGUGCUGCCAUAUAUACAAGACUGGCCUGCGUGACCCUCCCACUCAAUGGAGUUACUCACAAAGUAGCCUUUCUCACUCCCGACCAGUUUGGAUCAUAAUGUGCUCAUUAUUGCAUGGAUGCAGGAACGCUGCCCCUGCAGUGCAGCGUGAAAGCAGAAGAGGUCAGUAUACAACAAAAGCUUUUCAUCUCCAUCUUUUCUCUCCGUCAGUCAGUUUUUAACCUCACAUGGCUCUGCCUUUACGCCACUGAAAGGAAGAUUUACAAUGACUGAAAAAAAAAAAAAAGCAAACAGAUCAAAUACAUGAACAAAGACCGUAUUUAAUGUUUGUCAAAUAUUUUCCCAUCGCCAACAUUUACAUUCUUAGCCAUCACGGUAGAGAAUAGGCUCACUAACGGUUAUUUGUGGGCCUCCUUACGAGGAGCCUAAUGUCAUGCCGAGCCCACUUAGUACCCAUGCAGCCUGAGAAAUAUCUUUUGGGGGCUUGGACUGGGAUAAUUAUUGUCUAAUAGUGUGUUUUGUCUUUUCAGUGCCUUUUUGUAAUGUUAUGAGUGAAACUGUGGGGGGCUGAAUCCCAAUCUGGUCACACCCUGUGAAUUAUUUUGUUUUCACUUUCACGUUCAGCUUGUGUUUACGUUUUUGGCGUUGCUGCUUCACAGCCAGGUCACA